UACGGAGGGGGCUAGCGUUGUUCGGAAUUACUGGGCGUAAAGCGCACGUAGGCGGCUUUGUAAGUUAGAGGUGAAAGCCCAGGGCUUAACCCUGGAAUUGCCUUUAAGACUGCAUCGCUAGAAUCGUGGAGAGGUGAGUGGAAUUCCGAGUGUAGAGGUGAAAUUCGUAGAUAUUCGGAAGAACACCAGUGGCGAAGGCGACUCACUGGACACGUAUUGACGCUGAGGUGCGAAAGCGUGGGAGCAACAGG
rnacentral:rRNA from 1 species